UUGAUGAAAAUGUCACAUUACUUCAUGCUAUGGUACAUUAUGCCACGUACAUUUUAUUAUGUCUCGGUAUGUUGUUUUUGGAUAAUGUUAUGUUGUGUCCUGUUAUGUUAUGUUGUGUUAUUUUACUUUCAUUCUGUGAUUUGUUGCACGGUAUUAGAAGGAACGUAUUUAGUCAGACAAUCCAUUAGCAGUCAAACAUCAUACAGUGGAACACCAUUCACGGACCUGUCCACCCACACCAUCACAUCAUCAAAGGAGGAUUUUCAGUGUUACCAAGUUAUCCUUUAGCAUUUACAAUUGGAACUGCUACCAGCCGGAAAGUCCCAUGAAAAGAUGCUGUGGGUUUUGGUGAAGUGGCGGUCGACGUUACAUCUUUUACCGACACGCUCGCACCGCAAAUGAGACACACAUAAAAAAACGCUGUUACUCAUUCCUCAUUAAAAUAGUAUUUUAUUACCUUU